GGUCGCUUCUCGCAGGCGGCGCGCUUGCUGGGUCACAGUGAGGCGGCUCCGCGCAGGCGCAGCCGGGCGGGCGAGGAGCGGGGAAGCUGACUCAGGGCUGCGGCCGGGGUCCUGCGGGGUAGGAGCGCGAGGCCGGCCUGAGGGAGGAGGCCUAGCGACCCAUCCGGCGCCUCCCGCCCCGGGCACCCGCCCGCGGCCGCGCAUCCUGCGGGCCCCAGGAGGCCUCCAUCUCAAAACAACGUGUUUUUAGAGAACUCAAGGGCUGUGAAAAGAGCAGGACCUCACCAGCUGCACGGCGGUGGUGACUGGCUCCAUCUUGCUGUCCCUCCCAAUCACACAACAUCUCCCCUUGAAGGCUCUGCCCAGGCCCGGACUCCCACCUUUCAAGAUGUCUGGAUCAGUGCAGGACCUCCUCCUUGGCCACAUCGCUCUCCUUGGACUGGCUGGAGUGCAAUGACUCGGUCUCGGCUCAUUGCAACCUCCGCCUUGCAGGUUCAAGUGAUUCUCCCACCUCAGCCUCCCAAGUAGGAUUACAGGUACACACCACCACGCACAGCUAAUUGUUUUGUAUUUUAGGAAGAGAUGGGGUUUCAUCAUGUUAGCCAGGCUGGUCAGGUGAUCCAUCCGCCUUGGCCUCCCCAAGUGCUGGGAUUACAGGCGUGAGGCACUGUGCCCGGCCUGCCCCCCUUUUCUCUUGAUGUAAGUGGACAUUUUAAUCCAUAAUCUGUAACAUUUAUGUAUUAAGUUUACUACUAUCUUUGGUUUGCAGUGUUGACUCACCUGUGGAGUGGUCUGAGCCUGAAUGCCCGGGGCUGUGGCCACCGAGUGAACGGGCUGUGCUAAGGGGAAUUGCCACCUUGGGAAACCUGUGUAGUUGCGGCUUUUCUGAUUAAGUAUCAAUAAAAGUCUGACCUUGUGAAAAAAGCAAACGUGAGUGGCCCUGCUUAUGUUUCACCUUGCGUUGCUCAGUGAUAGUUCUGCAAAGUCGCAGGAAACCUGGAAUCAUCUAAUUAUCGUGAGUGUUGGUUCCUUAUUUAAUAAUGUCUAGUUGAUUCAUUAACAUGGAAUUCAUGGCCAGUACCUCUGUCACUCAUGCCUGACUGAAGUUGAUCAGCACGUCUUUUUCUCCCUUAGGCACAUGACAGCCUUCUUGCAAUCAAGAAACUACGUGUGGCCAGGAUCUCAUCCACUAUCACAGUUUCAGCUUUCCCCAAACUGGAAUGUGUCUUUGCAGACGCCCAUCCUUAUUAAAGGGCAAAGACUUCUCAUACACCUAGGAUGGAUCUUAUAUUCUUGGCGGGACUGCAGAGAAGGUGCCGUGUCCUGAGUCCUCAUGUCAGGGCACAGGCUUCCAGCCAGUUCUACCUGGGUUAUGUUUAUCUCAAUUCCCUGGUGGUAUUGGUGUCUGCUGGGUUUUGCCAGAAUGAAGACACCGUGUUUUCAUUUGUCAGUUGAUUCGUAUUUUCCAGGAAGACAUUCUGAGAUUACAGCAUUGUCUUAGUCAAGGUGCUGCAGAAGGACAGAACUAAUAGGAUAUAUGUACAUAUGAAAGAAAGUUUAUGAAGAACUGGCUCACACCAUCACAAGGCAAAGUCCCAUGACAGGCCAUCUGCAAGCUGAGGAGCGAGGAAGCCAGCAGUGGCUCAGCCGGAGUCCAACAGCCUCAAACGGAAUCCAACAGUUCAGGCUUCAGUCUGUGGCCAAAUGCCCAGAGACCCCGGAAAGCUACUGGUGUUAGUCCCAGAGCCGGAAGGCCAAAGAACCUGGAGUGUGAUGUCCAAGGGCAGGAGGAAUGGACAGAAGCAUCCAGCAUGGGGUAAAGACGAAAGCCAGAAGACUCAGCAAGCUAGCUUACCUACUUUCUUCUGCCUGCCUUGUUCUAGCCGCGCUGGCAGCCGGUUGGAGGGUGCCCACCCCCACUGAGGGUGGAUCUUCCUCUCCUAGUCCACUGACUCAAAUUUCAGUCUCUCUGGGAGCACCAUCACACCAGAAACAAUACCAGCCAUCUAGCCACCCUUCAGUUCACCAUCACAACCAUUGUCUUAUUCAUGAAACUUCUGCAGACCCACCUUAACCUCCAUCGGUGACUUCUACCUGAAGCCCUCUGAUUGUUGCCCAGUGGUGCUUUUUAAAAUAAUUUCCAUAGUUUCUUCUACACCUUUAGUUGGCAUUCUACUGUAAAGGAGAGAUUUUAUUUUCUUACUCAUUUAUUUGUUAGUUUAUAGUCACCACCAUAUGGAUGCAGAGUUCUGUCUCAUUCACUGGGAAGUAUUCUAUUGCAGUCAUGAUUUAUUUUGAUGUUCACAUCCCAGAGUUGGUGAGUGAGCGCCCCUUCACGCUGGCUCCCGAGUGCUGACGUGUCCCCGUCCUUCUCUGCACUUUUCCUUACCUCCUGGCCUCAGAUAUUCCAGGGUCAUUUGUUCUCUCCCUGCUCCAACCCUGCAGUCAGCCAUCUCCCUAGGGACGUUGGUUCCUUUAUGGAAGGUGGCAUUUAGAAGCCAGGAUUUGGGCUGAGCACUGUGGCUCAUGCUUGUAAUCCCAGCACUUGGGGAGGCCGAAGUGGGCGGAUCGCUGGAGGCCAAGAGUCUGAGACCAGCCUGGCUAACAUGGUGAAACCCUUCCCCGUCUCUACUACAAAUAAAAAAUUAGCUGGGUGUGUUGGCACGUGCCUGUAAUCCCAGUUACUCAGGAGGCUGAAGCACCAGAAUCUCUUGAACCCAGGAGGCCGAGGUUGCAGUGAGCCAAGAUUGCACCACUGCACUACAGCUUGGGUGACAGCGCGAGACACCGUCUCAAAAAGGAUAAUAAUUUAAAAAACAGCAGGAUUUGGGUGAGCAGUGCGCUCAUUGCUUCUGGGCUCUCUCGGUGGACAUAGGCUAGGAAUGUAAGAUGUAUGUGCCUGUGUAUAUACACACGUCUGUAGCUAUGUCUAUGUUGCAUACAUGUGUUUUUCCAAAAACCAAAUCCAUAACCAUGCCUUCAGUUUCAGCCCAACACCUCCGGGCUCUUUCUAGCUUUCUACCUUUCAUGAUUGUGAAUACCUUCUCCAGCAGUGAGAAACCUGGCUCCUUUGUCCUCAGUGGAUUUUCUUAUUUGCUCAAUUUUUUUGUUUUUUGUUUUGUUUUUGUUUUUGAGACAGAGUCUUGUUCUGUCACCCAAGCUGGAGUGCAGUGGCAUAAUCUCGGCUUACCGCAACCUCUGCCUCCUGG
rnacentral:lncRNA from 1 species